UACUAGAGUAGCACUCGCAUAUCAAUAAGCGGAGGAAAAGAAACUAACAAGGAUUCCCCUAGUAACGGCGAGUGAAGCGGGAAGAGCUCAAAUUUGAAAUCUUAAAGGGUUUCCCUUUACGAAUUGUAGUUUAAAGAAGUGUUUUCUGUUGAGGUUUUGGUAAAAGUUCUUUGGAAUAGGACAUCAUAGAGGGUGAGAAUCCCGUAUUUGGACCUUUACUUUCAACUUUGUGAUACACUUUCAAAGAGUCGGAUUGUUUGGGAAUGCAGUCCAAAUGGGUGGUAAAUUUCAUCUAAAGCUAAAUAUUGGCGAGAGACCGAUAGCGAACAAGUACCGUGAGGGAAAGAUGAAAAGAACUUUGAAAAGAGAGUUAAACAGUACGUGAAAUUGUCAAAAGGGAAGCGUUUGACACCAGUGUUGUUUUUCUGAAAAUCAAUUAAAGAACAGUUUAUGCUAAGUUGUUUAGACUUUAUCAGCUAACUGUUUAGUUUUGAGCUUUUCUUUAAUGCACUUUUCAGUUAACAAGUCAACAUCAAUUUCUUUUGCUGUAAAAAAGCUUGAGGAAGGUGGCUUGAGAUUCGUCUUAAGUGUUUAUAGCCUCUUGCCUAUGCAGUCGGAGAGAUUGAGGUCUGCAGCGUAGAUCCUUCGGGGCUAAAUGCAUUUGUGCUAAGUUAUAGCAUUUUAUAGACAACUUGUUGACUAUGAUUUGUCUUGUAGCUUACUCGCUUAUGUUAUUUUACCUACGCUUAGGAUGUUGAACUCUAUCACACACAG
rnacentral:rRNA from 1 species